UAUUAGUAAGUAUCAUUGCUACAUUUAUGAGUUUUAUUUUUUAAUUAAAUAAUUUUUUUUUUUUGCGGAUUCACAGAUUUUUGCGGAUUUACAGAAGUAAAUUCAUAUCCAAUCUAUCGACUGCGGAUUUUUAAAUUUUCAUUCCAAUCCGAUCCACCAAUCCACGGAUCAGAUUUUUACAGAUCGGACAGAUUGAGCGGAUCGGAUUGGAUUCUGAACACCCCUAUGAUAUGGGGAGUAAUCUUUUGUAAUUAGGUAUUCUUAGUCUAAAAUUGUUACUCCAUGAAUAUUGUGAUUAUUUAAACCUUUAGGGUGUGUUUAGAACACCACACUACACCGGAUCAGAACCUUGCAUAGCAUUACAUUAAUACAAUAAUGUGUCUGGCUAAAAGAUGACAUGUAUAAUAUCACUGUUGUAAUGCACCAAAUCACGCAUUAACCAAAGCCGUGGGGGGUCUGUGUUUACGCGUGAUUGGCUGAUUGCAUUACCAAAAGACACAAAAUUAAAACAAAAUAUAAUCUAUCGUUUUCUUUUCGUCACACAAGCACCCACUCACCCAGAACAAACCCAUAGCCUUUCCUUCCUUCAUCACUGACGCCAUCAGAGUCCACCACUGCUGCGCCUUCACUGCCAGAAUCAUCGCAACCAGUCAGUGGGUCUUUUACUUUCUUGGAUACUUUUUAUUUGUGGUGAAAAUUGUGGGUUUUUUUUUUUUAAGUUUCGAUUUAAAGUAGAAGAAUUCAAUCGGUUUUUGGAAUCGUUGGUGGGUUUAUUAGUAAUUAUUAUUUAUUUCUCUUUUAUGACUAGUUGGCUUUUUCAUUUUGUUAAUGGUAUUUCUCUUCUUGAUUUGAAGAAAUAGAUUUUUAGUUAAUAAGUGAGAUCUAAUUACAAAGAAUGAGAAAGAAUAAUUUACUUGUUUGUUUGUUUGAUUAGAUUAUUAGUAAACUUGAGUAACGGCAGUUAUAUGAUCAGGUGAUUUCGUGUACUUCAAAGGUUUAAAUUGAAUCGAAGUGGGAGUAGAGAGUAUGCUAUAUAGUAAGGAAUACAUAACUGAUAUUGUAGAGCAAGGAUCGAAAUUACUAGCUUAGUGAAUUGAAAUUACUUAAGGUCUACUUCUUCUUCAAUCAUUUUAUUUUGGCUCUAAAAUGAAUUAUUAUCUUGAAUAUUUUGGUAGUUAAUUUUUUUAAUAAAGAAGAAAUAACUUUUUUCAAGUGUUUAAGAAUGUAAUUUUUAGGCACCAAUCCUUUGGUGCUAUAAUUCCCCAUUUCUGAACAUUAUAUUUCUAUGAUUAAUUAUUAAUUUGUGGGUUAUAUAGUGACUUUGGUGGUACUUUUGACAAAUAAUUUGAUGUGGUUUAACAGGAUGGAUGUGGUAGUAUGGAAAUGGAGCAACCUUGCACUCAAGCUAUUAUGUUUUUUCUAGAAGAAAAAACAACAAAAAAUUGAUGGAAUGAGAUGAACGUUGAGGUUAGAAUGAGAUGAAUAUUGAAGUUAUCAAAAUAUCAUAGGAAAAAGAGGGAUAGGAAAGCUGUUUGGUUGGAAUUGCAUUUUAUUUUUUAUUUUUUUUAAGACACCACAUGUUUAACUAUUUAUUUAUAUUGAGAUGUUUAUUAAAGCUUUUUUUAUUUUAUUUGGCUGGAGCUUUAUUUUAGAUGAUACACAUUUGAGAAAUGUAGAGAAAACAAAUGUUAUAUUGUUUAAAAGUAUAGAAUUUAGUAGUUUUGCAAUGCAAAAUAAGAUUGAUAUAUUUUACAUAUUAUAUUAAAAAAAGUAGGAUAAUUAAGU
rnacentral:lncRNA from 1 species